GCCUGGGUGGCUCAGUCGGUUGAGCGUCUGACUUUGGCUCAGGUCAUGAUCUCACAGCUCGUGAGUUCGAGCCCCGUGUCAGGCU
rnacentral:tRNA from 1 species